CAGUCGCCGCGGUAAUACGAAGGGUGCAAGCGUUAAUCGGAAUUACUGGGCGUAAAGCGUGCGUAGGCGGUGAGUUAAGUCUGCUGUGAAAUCCCCGGGCUCAACCUGGGAACUGCGCUUGUAACUGCACAGCUAGAGUAUGGCAGAGGGGGGUGGAAUUCCACGUGUAGCAGUGAAAUGCGUAGAGAUGUGGAGGAACACCGAUGGCGAAGGCAGCCCCCUGGGCCAAUACUGACGCUCAUGCACGAAAGCGUGGGGAGCAAACAGGAUUAGAUACCCCUGUAGUCCCUGUCUCUUAUAC
rnacentral:rRNA from 1 species